UUUCGUGCUUGUUAGCGGGUUUUACUUGGCACUAAAUAAAUACAUCAAGUAGUUCAUCAAGUAGUUCAAUUGUUCAGUCCGUAAAAAAGCAUAACUUGCCGUAUUGCUUGCCGUAGUGUAGCAAAAAGUAUCAUCAAGUCCCAAUCUCAUUACCCUGGUUCCAGAGGUUUAUUUUUAUUAUAUUCAUUCCGAAGGGGAGAGGAAAAAUAAACCUCUGGAACCAGGGUACAAUCUCAUUUGAUCGGGCUUGAGAAAAUAACGAGAAUUCUUAUAUGUAUAGUAGUCUUGUAUUUGGUGGUGAAUGAAUCGAAUCGAGAGAUGCAAUUCAAUUUCAAUUGCUCCUUUAAGCGUCAAC